rnacentral:rRNA from 1 species
UACGUAGGCAGCAAGCGUUGUUCGGAGUUACUGGGCGUAAAGAGUACGUAGGCGGUUUGCUAAGUCUGGUGUGAAAUCUCCUGGCUUAACUGGGAGGGUGCGCUAGAUACUGGCAGGCUUGAGUAUGGGAGAGGAGAGUGGAAUUCCUGGUGUAGCGGUGAAAUGCGUAGAUAUCAGGAGGAACGCCGGUGGUGUAGACGGCUCUCUGGACCAUUACUGACGCUGAGGUACGAAAGCGUGGGUAGCAAACAGGAUUAGAUACCCUGGUAGUCCACGCCCUAAACGAUGCGGACUUGGUGUAGGCAGUUCAGUCUGUCUGUGCCGGAGCUAACGCGUUAAGUCCGCCGCCUGGGGAGUACGGUCGCAAGGCUGAA